rnacentral:rRNA from 1 species
UACGUAGGGUGCAAGCGUUGUCCGGAAUUAUUGGGCGUAAAGAGCUCGUAGGCGGUUUGUUGCGUCGGCUGUGAAAUCCCGAGGCUCAACCUCGGGUCUGCAGUCGAUACGAGCAAACUAGAGUGUUGCAGGGGAGACUGGAAUUCCUGGUGUAGCGGUGAAAUGCGCAGAUAUCAGGAGGAACACCGGUGGCGAAGGCGGGGUCUCUGGGCAACAACUGACGCUGGAGGAGCGAAAGCCGUGGGGAGCAAACAGG